UGCCCAGACUCCUACGGGAGGCAGCAGUGAGGAAUAUUGGUCAAUGGGCGGAAGCCUGAACCAGCCAAGUCGCGUGAGGGAAUAAGGCCCUACGGGUCGUAAACCUCUUUUGCCGGGGAGCAAGGGCGGGGACGUGUCCCGGCCCGGAGAGUACCCGGAGAAAAAGCAUCGGCUAACUCCGUGCCAGCAGCCGCGGUAAUACGGAGGAUGCGAGCGUUAUCCGGAUUUAUUGGGUUUAAAGGGUGCGUAGGCGGAAUGCCAAGCAGGGGGUAAAGUCGGGGGGCUCACCCUCGCUCCGCCGUUGAAACUGGCGUUCUUGAGUGGGCGAGAGGUAUGCGGAAUGCGUGGUGUAGCGGUGAAAUGC
rnacentral:rRNA from 1 species